CUUCUAUUUAGGCCGCUUAGGACUCUGGCCACGAGGGGGCAGUAGAGCAAGCUCAUCCGACUGUUAUACAUGUCUCGUUUGACAGCUCUGAGAUUCUCCAGGAGAGGAUAUGCUCCUGCAGAUUCCCAGACCCCUCCUCCGCCCCAUCGCAUGAGGCCGC
rnacentral:lncRNA from 1 species